AUGUUCUGGUGCGAUGCACAGUCGCGGAGGGACUAUCAGGACUACGGAGAUGUGGUCGUGUUUGAUAGCACGUAUAAGAUGAACAGAUACGGUAUGCCGUUCGUCCCCUUUGUAGGAGUUAACAACCACCGUUGCACCACAGUGUUUGGUUGUGCCAUCAUUGCUGACGAGACGGAAGGGACAUACAUGUGGCUGCUGCAGACAUUUAUGAAGGCAAACUGUCAGGUGAAGCCAAAGUCAAUAAUCACAAACGGUGACGCUGCAAUGAUCCGGGCUAUUCGGACCGUCCUUUCAGAUGUUUUCCAUCGUCUUUGUUCGUGGCAUAUCGAGAAAAAUAUGCAGAGGCACCUGCAUUACAAGUCACUGGAUGAGUUCAGAUCGCUCCUGUACUAUGCCACCUCUCAAGCGAACUUUGAGCAGAGAUGGAAAGCUUUCUAUGAUAAGUGGAAGACGGAUAGAACUGAAGAGUGGCUUGACAGGAUGUACAGGAAGAGGAGACUGUGGGCAGCUUCAUAUCUUUCCGAUGGUUUUUUUCUUGGUAUGCGAAGUAACCAGAGGAGUGAAAGCCUCAACUCCUGCCUUCACCUUCACCUGGACUACGGUAUGACAAUUGUUGAUUUGGUGGUGCAUUAUGAGAACUGUAUAGUUCGCCUGCGUGAGAACGAGGCGUACGAUGACUGCGAGGCAUUCCAGAAGGAACCACCGUCUGUUACUGAAUAUAAAGUCCUUGAGGAGCAUGCCGCCAAAGUAUUCACACCUGCUAAUUUCUACAUCUUGCAAGAUGAUUUGCAUAAGAUGGGUCAGCUGGAGAUAUUUGAGACGCUCGUGGGAAUUGGGCGUGAGACAUUCAUUGUGACAUGGAAGGAUAACCACAAGUUUAGGUAUAAUGUUGUUUAUGAACCAGGUAACUCAGAAGAAACUAUUACAUGCAGUUGUCUUAGGAUGGUUCGGAAAGGGCUGCCAUGCAAACACAUUCUGUUUGUUCUCCAUCAUCUGAAUUUAACUGAAAUACCAAAGUGUUGUGUCCUUAAUCGGUUGUCCAAACAUGCAAGAGAUGGGUUGCCUGUGCAGAGGAAGAGUGAUAUGUUUGGAUGGGGUUGGUCAGGGCCAUUGGAGAGAGAACGGUAUAGUGCAAUAUCCAUUAAAACCGCACAAGCUGCUCAUGUUGCAGCAAAUGAUCCCUUCUUGUUCGAUGAGUUGAUGAAGUGUCUAGACAACAUAAUAGCACAGAAAAAGAUUUCAGAGGAGGAACUUAUAGGAAGUAGAAGGUAUGCUAUGCUGAAGAAGGAGGCAAGUCAAGUGCAACAAGUUGAGCCUGGUAUUGGUGAUCCUCAGAAAGUUUCGACGAAGGGUGCACCUAAGAAGGGGCGGUCAAAGGGGGGCCCCGGCGUUACAAAGAAUGGUAGGCCAAAAGAUUUUACAGAGAAGAAAAGUGGUCCUUUGUGCAGUUUCUGUAGUCAAGCAGGUCAUAAUAAGGCUACAUGUCAUUUGAACGAGAAGUAA
rnacentral:rRNA from 1 species